rnacentral:rRNA from 1 species
GACGAACGCUGGCGGCGUGCCUAACACAUGCAAGUCGAGCGGUCUGGCAUUUAACAUUGAGUAUUCAGAUGAAUCUGAGUAUUGAAUGUUAAAUGUCGGAUAGCGGCGGACGGGUGAGUAACGCGUGGGUAACCUGCCUUAUACAGGGGGAUAACACAGGGAAACUUGUGCUAAUACCGCAUAAUAUCAUUGUAUGGCAUCAUGUGAUGAUCAAAGGAGCAAUCCGGUAUAAGAUGGACCCGCGUCCAAUUAGCUAGUUGGUGGUGUAACGGACCACCAAGGCGACGAUUGGUAGCCGAACUGAGAGGUUGAUCGGCCACAUUGGGACUGAGACACGGCCCAGACUCCUACGGGAGGCAGCAGUGGGGAAUAUUGCACAAUGGGGGAAACCCUGAUGCAGCAACGCCGCGUGAAGGAUGAAGGUUUUCGGAUCGUAAACUUCUUUGAUGAGGGACGAAUAAUGACGGUACCUCAAGAACAAGCCAC